rnacentral:rRNA from 1 species
GAUGAACGCUGGCGGCGUGCCUAAUACAUGCCAGUCGAGCGAACGGACGAGAAGCUUGCUUUUCUGAUGUUAGCGGCGGACGGGUGAGUAACACGUGGAUAACCUACCUAUAAGACUGGGAUAACUUCGGGAAACCGGAGCUAAUACCGGAUAAUAUUUUGAACCGCAUGGUUCAAAAGUGAAAGACGGUCUUGCUGUCACUUAUAGAUGGAUCCGCGCUGCAUUAGCUAGUUGGUAAGGUAACGGCUUACCAAGGCAACGAUGCAUAGCCGACCUGAGAGGGUGAUCGGCCACACUGGAACUGAGACACGGUCCAGACUCCUACGGGAGGCAGCAGUAGGGAAUCUUCCGCAAUGGGCGAAAGCCUGACGGAGCAACGCCGCGUGAGUGAUGAAGGUCUUCGGAUCGUAAAACUCUGUUAUUAGGGAAGAACAUAUGUGUAAGUAACUGUGCACAUCUUGACGGCACCUAAUCAGAAAGCCACGGCUAACUACGUG